rnacentral:lncRNA from 1 species
GGCUCAAGCCGUGGGACCGGUGAGUGUCACCCCCAGCCCAGAUCCGAAGCGCUUUGCGACCCCGAAGGGGCAGGUUUGUCCAUGGAGCGCUGAGGAACAGGGGGCGUCUUCCUCUCCCUUUUCCCAUUUCCUUUUUGACCGUCUCUUAUCUCAGGAGAGGGCAGCCCAGCUCCUGGCCCCUGCCAAGAACAAGAACCUUCCAUGGUCACCCUCCACCUCUCCACCUUGUUGGCAGGAGGCAGCCCGAAGUAGGGGAAAGGUCUCAGCUGGUAGGCUGAGUCCCGGCUCCUGCCCCUCUCCUCGUCCUCCUAGGGACAGGGAAGAGGCGGCUGGUACCGGGAAGCGUCAAGGUAGCCGCGCCCUUGGCUAGGGUCACAUCCACCUUCCUGGGAAGGACGUACUCUCCCCGUGCCAGGUGCUUCCGGAGCGGCACCUCGUCCAGAGAGGAAGUCCUGGUUCCCGCCGUGAACCUGGGGAUGGCCCCCCUUGGGUUCCCAGGACCCUCACCCAGAUUUUCUCGUCUGCCCUCCCACUGCCCUCUAAGCCCAGGAGGAACCUGAGGCUGGGGAGGAGGAGCCUAGUGAUCAGGUUGCUUCUUGCCUUGGUGUUUCAUCUGUUCAUUACCAUCGCUGUUCUACCCACGGUGGUCACACCCUUUCCAGAAAUUCUAGGCUGGUAACCGCGAAAACUGGAGAGAGCAAGAACUGGGAGAACUGGAGAAAACCGCUCUCAUCUGACUUGAUUCUGGCUGUGAACGAACGCUGCAUCGUAAUAAACAACUUUUGCAAAGCUUCUUCUGAGGUACUAGCCCAUUUGAUCCUUAACUCAGCAUUUUGAGGUGUAGAUAUUACACCUCAAAGGUGUUGUAUUCCUUUUUGCCAACGAGUAAGUGGAAUAAGGUUUAGAGAGCUAGUGUGAUCUGCCUUGCAGGAGUUGUGGUCUUUCGUUUCUAACUCCACACAACCUAUUAUGCUCCCCCUUUGAUCCUCUCUUAAAAUGAGCUUCGAGUUGAGGGAGCUUUGUUCUCCUUGAGUCUUGGUUGGCCUCCUCAUGGCUCUCUCUUGGACAGCAUAUGGUUAGUGUCCAAGGUGAAUGUGCCCAACACAUUUCUGAUGCCCUCUCUCCUUUUUCCAGUUUCCGUGAAGUCCUUAUCCCUGAGUUCUUUCAAAUGCUGGAUGUAUUCAGAGCCUCAAAAAAGCCUCUGCCAGGGUUAAUUCAUUACAGACACCCCUCAUCCUCAUCCCUUCUUGCUAGGGAGGUGUGAGAUCUGGGAAAUUCUGAGUCUGAGGGUCAUUUACAAUUUUUCAGAAAUUGGCCUGGGUACAGCCUCACAACGCUCUGUCUCUGAGACAGAUUUUCCUCUGAAAUCCUUGCCUUCUUAACGUUGACACUGGACUGUUCUACCUGAUUAGUGUCCCCAAAUGGAUUAUCUGUCUUGAGUAGUACUAACAAUAUUCCCCCUGUGAGUGAAUAUUCACAUUUGUACUCCCAUGACAUCAAUGACCUUCACAACCCACCUGAAGGUUACCUUGUAAGGUAGAUUUUACUAUCCCCAUUUUCAAGAUGAGGGAUCAAGGUGGGCCACGAAGGUGAUGUGGCUGUUCUAUGAAUGACUGAGCUGUGAUUUUGCUCCCUUACAACAACUUUCCUAGAGGAUCAGGAAUUGACUCCAGCCUCCCUGCUCUAUCAGUUACUGACUAUACUAAAAUAGGAUGUGGAGAGGAUAGGACAUGAGACUUCUCUGUCUCCUAGUGUCUUCAUCUGGCACACUGACUCAGAACAUACGUAGCCCUACCUCAAACCCCUGUAGUAAAACUGGCCCUGAAGGAGCCCCGGGAGCCUCUCGAGGUUCUCAUAAAAGUUUUCCCUGUUCCCUAAUUGGCAAGGGAUAGGACAGACUUUUCCUCUUUGCCCAGGCUUGCCCUGGUUCUCAUUGCAGUUCCUCAUGCUUGGUGGGAGGAGCAAGAGUGAGUCACUCUGGAGAAGCCCUUACCUGUGUGUGGCCCUUGUUUUCUCUCUCAUGUCAUAGGCUCUGGGGGUGACUCUUCUCAGAUUCCUCUGGAACUAAGCCCUUUGCUGGACCCAUGCUCCAGCCUGUGCCCCCAUGACCAGGUGGAUAGAACUCCUUGUGUCUAUGACCCAGAACCCUGGCUGACCACAUUGAAGCAGGAUGCUCCAGCAGG